rfam:Erwinia sp. EM595 isolate E_g_EM595 genome assembly, chromosome: 1
AGGUUCUUUACCGUGCUGUCGAGCGGCUUGAUGUAGAGAUCGUUAUUAUUCAGCACCACGUUGCCGCUGGCGUGCACCUGCUGACCAUCCAGCGGGAUGUCGAGAUUGAGCUUUCCGCGGGUUUUGCCUUUGACCUGCAGUUCCUCCAGUGCGCUGCCCAGUGAGCUUUUCAGCGGCGUUUGCUGGAAAUAAUCGCCGAUAUCCUGCCCUGCACCGCUGACGUUACCGGUGAUAAUCAGUUUCUCUUUCAGGUAAUCGGGAAUGAUGGCGCUGAUGUCGGUGACGCUGACCUUGCCCAACAUCGCCUGCUGCGCUUUCAUCCAUAACCCAUCAUUCAGGAAAUCGAGAUCGAUAUCGAGGUUCUCAAUAUCGGGCCAGCCCGGCUGGAAAGCGUAGGUCGCGUGGCGCAACGGCACG